UACAGAGGUGGCAAGCGUUGUUCGGAAUUACUGGGCGUAAAGCGCGUGUAGGCUGCCCUGCAAGUCGGAUGUGAAAGCCCUGGGCUCAACCUAGGAAGUGCACUCGAAACUGCAGGGCUGGAGUCCUGGAGAGGAAGGCGGAAUUCUCGGUGUAGAGGUGAAAUUCGUAGAUAUCGAGAGGAACACCGGUGGCGAAGGCGGCCUUCUGGACAGUGACUGACGCUGAGACGCGAAAGCGUGGGGAGCAAACAGG
rnacentral:rRNA from 1 species